GCCCUAUCUCAAAAGUCAGGGCAGAAGACUAUGGAGGAAUUAUAGCCAGGAUUGUCCUCUGGCUUCAUGCCAUGCCAACGGGCAGAAAGAAAACAAUGAAGGGCAAACAUGUCACCUAAGCACCUGAGACCUCAGCUGACUCAGCAGCAAUGUGCGAGUAUCAUUUGUCCCACUUCAUCCCCACCCCCACUCCACUCCACCUCAGCAAGGGGACCAGCGAAUGAACAAGCAGAAGUCCAGCACAGCCUGGCAUAGAGAGUCACCAGCUUUUACUCUUCGCGUAAGGUCGUUACGGAAUUACUGAGGUUUCCCAUGUACCGUCCUUCCAGUAAGUUCAGUGGAAGAUUAACAGAGGUAAAGGGGAUGCAGAGAGACCAGCCAGGAGCUCCUGAGGGAGCUGGUCAUCCCUGAGCCGUGCUCUCGGUAUCCCUGUGUGAGACCAGGUAAGCAUCUGCAAAGGGCUGGCAGAUAGAUGACUUCACCCAAGCCACAGCUGCUUCCCCUGCAGGCCCUGCUACCCCUCCAAGCAGGGAGAUGGGUUUUAACCCUGGAUAUCCAUUCACUAGCAGGAAGAGGAAGUAGACAUCAUCAGAGCGUUUCCAAGGUCCCUCAAUGAGUCGCCAGCCGAUUUCUCAACUCAGAGCCUCGUGCUGUGUCACUAGGCUCCCCAUCCUCAGAUUCUGAACAAUGCAGACAUGGGGUAACCCUGUGACACCUCCACACACAUGUCUUCUGUCGCCCACGUGUGGGUCCUAGUUUCCUUCCCAGACAGCGACUACAGCCAGACAUGCUGAGGUCUGGAGAAUUUCUCUGCCCACAUGAAUGACCGGGCCACUCUAUACACAGCACAGCCCUGUGAGGGUGUUUUAUCACAGCAACAGAAAACAAACUAGAACAAAUGUCCUAGACUGCAUAAGAAGAAGAAGGUGAAGAGAGGACCAGCACCUCCUGUCUCUGCUUCCUGUGGGUGCAGUGUGGCCAACUGCCCCACACUCCUGCCACCAUAUCUCCCUGCAUGAUGGACUGGACCCCGAACAAAAAGCAAGCCUUCCUUAAGUGUUUUUAUCCGGCAUUGUGUCACCGAGAUGGGAAAAGCAACUCACACCCUGCCUUUUUCAGUCAGCCUGCUUUCCUAAGCCCUGUCUUUCAGAAAUUUCUGGACAUUUUCUAAAGGUUGUAACAUUUUGUUUUCAUCUACAUAGUAGUAAACUAGUUUAUAAGAUCACCGCAGGGGGGCAAGUUCCAUCACCAUGGAGCCUCAGCCUGCUUUGCCAGCACAGCUCUUAGUAUCCAAGUGGUGUUCUAGCGUUUACUACAGAGAAUUGCUGCUGCCGGGAAGCUUGCCUGGGAGGAGUGAGGUCUCUUUCUGCAUACGGCCUGGGGAGGAGCUCUGAUGACCUCCCUCUAACAGAGUCCUAAAACAGUCA